GCUCUCAUUGCAGAUUUUUGGGGCUCGUAUAGAAGGUGGAGCAGAAAUAGAAAAUAUUUCGAUGCAGAAAUAUUCGCAUUUACAGCAAAACCAGUAAACAUUAAUUAAUUUUAGGUACCUAGGUAGAUUUCAAUCUUACAAUACAAUUCAUUUGUUAAGAAUAUGUUAGUCGACCAUUUAAUAUUUCAUUUGUUGUGGUUAUUUAAGUGCAGAAAUCGAAUGAAGAAAAGAAUGUUGCAAGACUGGAAAAAGCCUUAUGUUUUCUACUUAUCAUCAGAUUUAGAGAAUUUUGCCGCCUGGGUCUCGAACAAUUAGAACAUGAAUUAAAAGCAUUAAAAAUAAGUAAAAAUAUGGUUGUGUGUAUGCCUCAACACAUUCGAUUCGUCAUCCCUAGAAAGUUACAUAAAUUUAGUGUGUUUCCCAAAAACCGACCUCAGGACGAGCCGCAUUCAUCAUCCCAGUGUAAUGGCUCAGCUGCCCAGACGACGUCGACGACGAUGAAAAGCAGUCGGCGAAGUUGAGGGCGUUUCCGAGCCACGUAAUGUGAAACUGCGGGCCAAACUGUGCGUUACUUAACGGUCAGGAGCUGGGCUCCCCGGGCGUAAAAAAUGGGCAGCAAGUGCGCCCAUUUCUCUUGGCCUCCGUGUUCGAGGGCUUGGGGUCACUGUUAGCUUGCAUAGCAAAUGCCCGAUGGAAAAACGAACUCACGCAGAGUUGGAAAUUCUAACGAGCUCGCCGGAUGUGCACGGAAGAUGCGGAUGGCACAAAAAAUGACAGGCCAAAGUGACGGCUAGAAGCGAGCUCGCAGGGAGGGAUGAUCAGAAUUUCGAGGACCCUGAAAUUUUAUUCGGCAUUCAAUAUUCGAACGGGAGGAGCCAGCACAGGCGCUAAUGAUGGGCAAAUAGUCUCGUUAAAGAUGUGGUGCGAUGACUAUGCAAAUGAGCUGUGACAUAAAUAACGAUGCCAUCUGAGAUAUGCAAGCUGCAGGGGACUUUGAGUUUCGUUUAAUGACUUGAAGUUACGCAUCGAAUCGAUUCCACUCGCUACUUUAUGGCGAAUGCAAGCGACUUGACGGCAGUCACCAAAUGUUGGAGCAAGUCGAGUUCCGCUUCAGUGCACGAAGUGACCGGGCCAAAGGACGCCCCGAUUCCCAACUGCCGGCUUUCCCGCAUAGUUUAUGGCUUGUAAGCUCCUUAGCCUAAUGGCUUCGGCGGGGCACAGUGUUUAUGUCGAGGGUCUCACGUCGGCGACCCCACAUUUUAUGCGUCAUUAAGUGCAGCCCAUCGUGGUUGAAGUGGUUAAAGCCUGGCUGCUUUAACUCCAAGCCCGUUGAGCCCUCUCCUCCGGACUCGAAUCAAUCUCAAUAUCGCGAGCCGACGAGCGAAGCCAAGCCAAACAAGUGCGGCGAAUUUGAUUUGCAAUCCAAUCUAGGUAACAUCGCUUGCCAAUUUCCCUGCCACUGCCUUCGGACCGGCUCCUUCCCACGUGCACGGAAGUUGCUUAAUGGAACCCUUAAAAAUAUGCAGGCUGUCACUUUUGGCCCCGAAACAGAAAUCCUAUUAAAACCGGAGGUUGCAAGCGAUACAAGGGAUGGCGGAGUUCAUGGCAGCAAAGAAAGUUGGGAGAAGUCUGCGCUUCACCCUAAAGCCAACUAGGUUGCACAGCGAGCUUAAAAAUGCCUUUCUAUUGCUGGUUCCGCCUUAAUAAUCACACUGGGCAGGCAGAGAUUUCUGGACAGUGGAAGGUCCAACUAAUGUGAAUGCGAAUGGGGUAGGUAUGUAGGUAAUAUAAAGAAUAAAUCUUGAAGGACUCAAAUAUUCGCUACACGCCUUCUUUUCCUCGGACGUAUUUGUGUGUGCGCUGAAAGAAAUAGCAAAACAAGCAAACUUCCGCAGAAGCUCCUCCUAAGCAGGCGAAUGGGGGGCCGGGCCAUUAUAAUAGUUUACAACGCCUGCAGCAGGAUGCCAGCUUAGGGAGCAUUCUCCACUUUGACAUUUGAGAGCCGCAACGAGAUAAAAAAGGCAGACGAGUUGGAGAGCAUGGAGGUCUCAUCUGCUCCCCGAGUCGCAUUCUCGAAAUGCACAGACGACAAGGCCAGGCGUCGCGAGCAAGCGACCCACCCACAGGAACCACCCAACUCAACCCGUUUAAAUAAUGCAAUCAAGAACGCUACAAAAAAGAGCUUUCCAAGGUAUAUAGACCAACUGGCAUCGAAACAUUGUUUCUCGCGUGUUGCGAACGCUGGAAGUUAACUUGAAUCUGAAAUGUAUCUUAUUCCCAGCUCUGCCAAUAUGUGUUAAUCUGAUAAAUAUAAUUACAUUUCUGAC